UCGAGCGGGGGAAGGUAGCUUGCUACCGGACCUAGCGGCGGACGGGUGAGUAAUGCUUAGGAACCUGCCUAUUAGUGGGGGACAACAUCUCGAAAGGGAUGCUAAUACCGCAUACGUCCUACGGGAGAAAGCAGGGGAUCUUCGGACCUUGCGCUAAUAGAUGAGCCUAAGUCGGAUUAGCUAGUUGGUGGGGUAAAGGCCUACCAAGGCGACGAUCUGUAGCGGGUCUGAGAGGAUGAUCCGCCACACUGGGACUGAGACACGGCCCAGACUCCUACGGGAGGCAGCAGUGGGGAAUAUUGGACAAUGGGGGGAAC
rnacentral:rRNA from 1 species